rnacentral:rRNA from 1 species
AAAAAAUGACACCGUAACUUCGGGAGAAGGUGUGCCCUCUGUACGUGAAGCCCCUUGCGGGUGGAGCGGAAGAGGGUUGCAGAGAAACGGGGGUAGCGACUGUUUACCAAAAACCCAGCACUGUGCGAAGUCGGAAGACGACGUAUACGGUGUGAUGCCUGCCCGGUGCCGGAAGGUUAAGGGGAGUUGUCAGCCGCAAGGCAAAGCAGCGAACCGAAGCCCCGGUAAACGGCGGCCGUAACGAUAACGGUCCUAAGGUAGCGAAAUUCCUUGUCGGGUAAGUUCCGACCUGCACGAAUGGCAUAACGACUUCCCCACUGUCUCGAGCAGGGACUCAGCGAAGUAGCACUAGGGGUGAAGAUACCCUUUACCCGCGGCAGGACGGAAAGACCCCGUGAACCUUUACUGUAACUUGGCACUGAACUUCGGGUUCGUUUGCGUAGGAUAGGUGGGACGCUAGGAAGCAUGGACUCCGGUCUGUGUGGAGCGGCCGUUGAAAUACCACCCUGACGAAUCUGGAGUUCUAACCUGCACCCGUGAGCCGGGUGGGGGACAAUGCCUGGUGGGCAGUUUGACUGGGGCGGUCGCCUCCCAAAGAGUAACGGAGGCGCGCGAAGGUUCCCUCAGGCUGAUUGGAAACCAGCCGACGAGUGUAAUGGCAUAAGGGAGCUUGACUGCGAGACUGACAAGUCGAGCAGGUGCGAAAGCAGGUCAUAGUGAUCCGGUGGUUCUGAAUGGAAGGGCCAUCGCUCAACGGAUAAAAGGUACUCCGGGGAUAACAGGCUUAUCACGCCCAAGAGUUCACAUCGACGGCGUGGUUUGGCACCUCGAUGUCGGCUCAUCGCAUCCUGGGGCUGAAGUUGGUCCCAAGGGUUUGGCUGUUCGCCAAUUAAAGCGGUACGCGAGCUGGGUUCAAAACGUCGUGAGACAGUUUGGUCCCUAUCCGCCGUGGGCGCAGGACGCUUGAGAGGAUCUGUCCUUAGUACGAGAGGACCGGGAUGGGCGGACCGCUAGUGUUCCGGUUGUGGCGCCAGCUGCAAUGCCGGGUAGCUAUGUUCGGAAGGGAUAACCGCUGAAAGCAUCUAAGCGGGAAGCCCACCUCGAGAUAAGGCGUCCCUGAGACUUCGGUCUCCUGAAGACCCCAUGUAGACCACGUGGUUGAUAGGCUGGGUGUGGAAGCGCUGCAAGGCGCGGAGCUAACCAGUACUAAUCGGUCGUGAGGCUUGACCAC